UUUGACAGGGUGUUUAUAAAGGGAAGUAGCUACUAUAAAUGGUCUCAUAAUCUAAUUCAAACAUGCGACAAAUAAAAUUAGGUGUUCAUUAUAAGGAGUUAGGGAAGAAAUGAGAGAAGUUAAUAACAUUCCUUCUGAAAGGGAUGGAUGUUGAGCUAUAUUGAAGUAACAUAAGUCUCAUUGAUGAUCAACAUUGAUUUGAUGAUAAUGAGUGAUGAUAGCAACUUUGCUCAUGGUGCGUCGACUUUAGAGGAAUCCAUCAUGCAUUCACAUCCUUUCAUGUUUCCAAAUCCUCACCCAUAAAUAUUAUUUCUCCCUUUGGUUUGAUCAAGCAUGAAAGUAGAAUCACUUUGUACCAAAAUAAAAAGUUGAAUAAAUCUUCUUAUGUAAACAUACAAAAAUAUUGCUGGUGGCAUACAUAAUCUAAAGUUAUUUAAGUAAAAAUUGAGAUAUUUUUACUUAAGAGAGAUAAAUUCUUGUACGACAUUUUAGUUAAAUUCUUUAAUAAAAAAGUGGUCCAAUAAAGAUAAUUGUGGUCCUCUUACCCUCGUAA